ACUAAUUUUGCCCUAGAUCUCUAACUGGUCCCCUCAAGGAUUGAACUCAUAACCCUGGGUUUAGCAGGCCGAGCCUCAGACCACUGAGCUCCCUUCACCUACCCAAUUGGUCACAUUGUGA